GCCCUUUUUGUCCUCUAAAAAAUGGUAUAUGUGUUGGUGCAAUAAAUUGGGGAGAUGCAAAUUGUGGUUGAACACAAACGGCAAAAAAUGCUUGUGUCCUUAAGGGUAAGACAAGCUUCUGAAGCUGUGUUCUUAAGGGGUUAAUCAACCAAACCAGCAACAGGUGGAUUUAGCAGCAUUUUAGUGUUUUGUCUGGCGUAACACUAAAAUGCCAAAAUGUUGCCAGGUCUACUACCCAUGUUUGAUUAAAUAGAUUUAUUCAGGGGUUGGUGUGUGAAUUUUCUUUAGUUUAUGUUUUUUUAUCAAAGUUUCUGGCUUCUGCUUAUAGUUCUUAAUGACAUUCCACAUACUGUUAGUGCGUGAGUAUCAGUGUCAGGGAUUUCUGUAAUAUACGGUAUAAGGGCAAUUGAGACUUGGCUUCUGGGACAAUUAAGGGGUAAUGCUAGAAUGCUACCAUCUCCUGGAACAUGUUUGGGAAGUGUGAUUGAAAUAGGAGAGUGGUAUGACAAAAUGGCUAGCUAGGCAUGUAGUACCAAGACGACAUACAGAAGACAAUAAUGUUCAGCAUACCAGGGUCCAUCAAAUUCUGAAUUGAAUUGAAAAGAACUGCAAGAACUUCAGGAUAUCCAGACAGCCACAGAUUCAAGGAUUUUCCCAUGGAUAGGAGAGAAAACAAUAUUAAACAAAAGAAUGUGGUCAUCAUUCUAGAUUACAGACUUUUUUCUUAUCAGCCUAUGGUUCUUGUAACAUGUUUUAACUGUUACCUCUUUUGUUAAAG